GGGCCCGCACAAGCGGUGGAUGAUGUGGAUUAAUUCGAUGCAACGCGAAAAACCUUACCUACCCUUGACAUGUCAGGAAUUUUGCAGAGAUGCGAAAGUGCUCGAAAGAGAACCUGAACACAGGUGCUGCAUGGCUGUCGUCAGCUCGUGUCGUGAGAUGUUGGGUUAAGUCCCGCAACGAGCGCAACCCUUGUCAUUAGUUGCUACGCAAGGGCACUCUAAUGAGACUGCCGGUGACAAACCGGAGGAAGGUGGGGGACGACGUCAAGUCCUCAUGGCCCUUAUGGGUAGGGGCUUCACACGUCAUACAAUGGUUGGUACAGAGGGUUGCGAACCCGCGAGGGG
rnacentral:rRNA from 1 species